rnacentral:rRNA from 1 species
UUUAUGGAGAGUUUGAUCCUGGCUCAGGAUGAACGCUGGCGGCGUGCCUAAUACAUGCAAGUCGAGCGAACAGAUGAGAAGCUUGCUUCUCUGAUGUUAGCGGCGGACGGGUGAGUAACACGUGGGUAACCUACCUAUAAGACUGGGAUAACUCCGGGAAACCGGGGCUAAUACCGGAUAAUAUAUUGAACCGCAUGGUUCAAUGUUGAAAGACGGUUUCGGCUGUCACUUAUAGAUGGACCCGCGCCGUAUUAGCUAGUUGGUAAGGUAACGGCUUACCAAGGCAACGAUACGUAGCCGACCUGAGAGGGUGAUCGGCCACACUGGAACUGAGACACGGUCCAGACUCCUACGGGAGGCAGCAGUAGGGAAUCUUCCGCAAUGGGCGAAAGCCUGACGGAGCAACGCCGCGUGAGUGAUGAAGGUCUUAGGAUCGUAAAAC